GAUGAACGCUGGCGGCGUGCCUAAUACAUGCAAGUCGAGCGAACAGACGAGGAGCUUGCUCCUCUUACGUUAGCGGCGGACGGGUGAGUAACACGUGGAUAACCUACCUAUAAGACUGGGAUAACUUCGGGAAACCGGAGCUAAUACCGGAUAAUAUAUUGAACCGCAUGGUUCAAUAGUGAAAGACGGUUUUGCUGUCACUUAUAGAUGGAUCCGCGCCGCAUUAGCUAGUUGGUAAGGUAACGGCUUACCAAGGCAACGAUGCGUAGCCGACCUGAGAGGGUGAUCGGCCACACUGGAACUGAGACACGGUCCAGACUCCUACGGGAGGCAGCAGUAGGGAAUAUUCCGCAAUGGGCGAAAGCUUGACGGAGCAACGCCGCGUGAGUGAUGAAGGUCUUCGGAUCGUAAAACUCUGUUAUUAGGGAAGAACAAAUGUGUAAGUAACUAUGCACGUCUUGACGGUACCUAAUCAGAAAGCCACGGCUAACUACGUG
rnacentral:rRNA from 1 species